GGAUUAAGAGCUUGCUCUUAUGAAGUUAGCGGCGGACGGGUGAGUAACACGUGGGUAACCUGCCCAUAAGACUGGGAUAACUCCGGGAAACCGGGGCUAAUACCGGAUAACAUUUUGAACCGCAUGGWUCGAAAUUGAAAGGCGGCUUCGGCUGUCACUUAUGGAUGGACCCGCGUCGCAUUAGCUAGUUGGUGAGGUAACGGCUCACCAAGGCAACGAUGCGUAGCCRACCUGAGAGGGUGAUCGGCCACACUGGGACUGAGACACSGCCCAGACUCCUACGGGAGGCAGCAGUAGGGAAUCUUCCGCAAUGGACGAAAGUCUGACGGAGCRACGCCGCGUGAGUGAUGAAGGCUUUCGGGUCGUAAAACUCUGUUGUUAGGGAAGAACAAGUGCUAGUUGAAUAAGCUGGCACCUUGACGGUACCUAACCAGAAAGCCACGGCUAACUACGUGCCAGCARCCGCGGUAAUACGUAGGUGGCAAGCGUUAUCCGGAAUUAUUGGGCGUAAAGCGCGCGCAGGUGGUUUCUUAAGUCUGAUGUGAAAGCCCACGGCUCAACCGUGGAGGGUCAUUGGAAACUGGGAGACUUGAGUGCAGAAGAGGAUAGUGGAAUUCCAUGUGUAGCGGUGAAAUGCGUAGAGAUAUGGAGGAACACCAGUGGCGAAGGCGACUUUCUGGUCUGUAACUGACACUGAGGCGCGAAAGCGUGGGGGAGCAAACAGGAUUAGAUACCCUGGUAGUCCACGCCGUAACGAUGAGUGCUAASUGUUAGAGGGUUUCCGCCCUUU
rnacentral:rRNA from 1 species